rnacentral:lncRNA from 1 species
GUACUGGUUGAUCUGCAGUAGUCAUUGUUGUUCAAGAUUAGCAUGAUGUGUAGUAUGACAAUUCGAUGUGAAUGCGAUGGUCAUUAAUCGUUAUGUUUGUUUGAUGGUAUCUUGUAUCGGUACGUAGUAUUCUAGAGUAUAGUGCAAACCCGAUUUGGAGGGAUGAUUUAUUAGAUAAAGGUCGAGCGGGCUUUGCCGUUGCUGCGAUGAUUCAUGUAAUCGACGGAUCGCGGCCUUGUGCGGCGAGAUCAUUCAAUUUUGCCUAUCACUUUCGAUGGUGGAUAGUGGCUACUAUGGUGGUGAGGGUGCGGGAUUAGGGUUCGAUUCGGAGGGGGCUGAGAACGGUACAUCAGGAGGCAGCAGGCGCGCAAUUACCAUCUGACGGGGAGGUAGUGACAUAAUACAUACGGGUAUACGGUUGGUAUUGGAUGGUACAUCUAAUCCUUACGAGGAUCAUUGGAGGGCAGUUGGUGCAGCAGCGCGGUAUUCAGCUCCAUAGCGUUAUUUAGUUGUUGCAGUUAAAGUCGUAGUUGGAUUUGGGUUGGGUCGGCGGUCGCAUCAGGUGUGCACGGUUUAUGUCCUUCUGUCGGCGAUGCGUCUACCUUAUGGGGGGUGUGCUCCGGCGUUGUUACUUUGAGAAUUAGAGUGUCAAGCAGCUACGUCUGUAUAUUGAUGGGAUAAUAUGGAUUUCGGUCUAUUCGUUGGCUUCGGGAUCGGAGUAUGAUUACAGGGACGUCGGGGGCUUCGUUUUCUGUCAGAGGUGAAUUCUUGGAUUUAUGAAGCGAAAUGCGAAGCAUUUGCAGGAUGUUUUCAUUAUCAGACGAAGUUGGGGGCUCGAGCGAUCAGAUACGUCUGUCUCACAUAACGAUGCGACAGGGAUCAGGGAUGUUGCUUUUAGGAUCGUGGCCUUAUGAGAAUCAAGUUUUUGGGUUCGGGGGGGUAUGGUCGCAGGCUGAAUUAAGGAUUGACGGAGGGCACCAGGAGUGGAGCUGCGGCUUAUUUGAUCACGGGGAAUUACAGGUCGAUGUAGGAUUGAGAUGAGAGUCUUUUUGAUUUAUGGGUGGUGGUGCAUGGCGUUCUUAGUUGGUGGAGCGAUUUGUCUGGUUAUUCGUUACGACGGACUCAGCUGCUAUAGCUAUGUGGAGGUAUCCUCAUGGCAGUUUUAGGGGACUAUGGCUUUUAGGCACGGAGUUUGAGGCAUAAGGUCUGUGAUGCCUUAGAUGUUCUGGGCGCGCGCGUACUGAUGUAUUCACGGUAUAUAGCUUGGCGAGGCCGGGAAUCUUUGAAUUUAUCGUGAUGGGGAUAGAUCAUUGCAUUGUUGGUCUUAACGAGGAUUCUAGUAGCGCGAGUAUCAGUGCGUUGAUAGUCCUGCCUUUGUACACGCCGUCGUCUACGAUUGAUGGUCGGUGAGUGUUAGGAUGUGGCGACGUGGGCGGUUCGUGCCGCGAGUCGCGAGAUUCCAUGACUUUAUUUGAGGAGGAGAGUGUACAGGUUUCGUAGGUGAACUGCGGAGGUCAUUGUCGACCUGCAGCAGAGACCGUGAAAGUUAACAUUGGCUUGCGGGACGAGCAUUUGUUUCGGCCUUGUGAGUCUUGUCGAGUGCGUUAUGCGUGGACUACUUUGGUUUUGUCAUGGAUGUAUGUUGACAAUACAACCCGGACGAGAUGUGCAGGAAACAAAUUAAGAACGUGUGUUGCGCCGUUCGCGGUGUGCGCUGUUCGUGGUUCUUUGUAAUUAACGAUUCGGCAGGAUAUUCGGUCAGAUCGAUGAGAGUAGCAAUGCGAUAUUGGUGUGAUUGCGAUCCGUGACAUCGAGUUUUUGACGCAGUUGCGCCGAGCAUUCGGUUGAGGGCGUUGCUGGGGUCGUACGUCGCCCCAGGAUCCUAUAGGGUGUUUGUGUUGGGGCGGGAUUGGUUCCGUGCCAUGGGUGGUUGGCUAAUAGGGUUCUCGCGAGGGACGCGGUGUGGUGGUUGAUAGACGUGUUGUGUGUGCGUUUACUUUUUGAGGUAGUGUCUUAAGUACCUGAUGUGUUGUUUAUGACGAUGCUUCGAUCGCGACCAGGUCAGGCGGGAUACCGUGGUUUAGCUAUCAUAGCGGAGGAAAGAAUUACUAGGUUCCUUGUACGGCGAGCGACGGGAAGCCAGCUUGAAAUCGGGCGGCUUCGUCGUCGAUUGUGUUGGAGAGGUCUCGCGGGGACGGGCCAGUCCUGGAGGGGGCGCGGGAGGGUGAGGCCGUCGUGCCGGACCUGUGCACCGAGGCGUGUUGCGAGUCGGGUUGUUUGGGAAUGCAGCCCAUAGGGCGGUAAUUCGUCAGGUAAUAUGGGUGGACGAUAGAACAGUACGCGAGGGAAGAUGAAGGACUUUGAAGAGGUCAAGGUGCUUGAAUUGUCGGGGGGAGCGAUGGGGGCGGCGAUGGUCCGGUCGGAUGUGGACGGUGUAGUCGGUCGCGAUCGGUCGGGCGUGGACGGUGCGGAUUGGUCGGCGGCAAGCCAGGUGUUGAUAUGCUGUGGAGAUGCGUUGUGCGAUCGUGGUUGGGCGGCGCGUCGGGUGUUCGGACUGCGUGUCUGGACGGCUGCGGGACCUUCGGCCGUCUUGAACGGACAGGGUUGAAUGUGUGCGAGUCAGGGUGAGUAACCGCAGGGCAGGAGUGAUUGGCGGGAUCCCUGUGGGGUGCACGCGACGACUUGAUUUCUGAGAGGGUUCGGUGUGAGAUGCUGUCGGGACCGAAGAUGGUGAACUUGCUGAGCGGGGCGAAGCAGAGGACUUGGUGGAGGCCGCAGCGUAUGGUGCAAUCGUUGUUGAUUGGGUUAGGGGCGAAGAUAUCGACGUUAGUAGUGGUUCCUCGAGUUUCCUCGGAUGUGGAGCCGGGUGCGAGUUCUAUCGGGUAAGGAAUGAUUAGGGUCGGGGGGCACGCCUCGACUUUCUCAACUUUAAUAGGUAGGACGGGCGGUGCUUUGUUGAGCGCGCCGGAAUCGAGAGUCAGUGGGCAUUUUUGGUAGCAGAACUGGCGAUGCGGGAUGACGGAAGCGGGUUCGGUGCAAAUGGCGCUACUGAACCAAGGGUGUUGGUCGAUUAGAGCAGGAGGUGGUAUGGAGUCGAAUCGUAGGAGUGUGUAAAUCACUGCCGAUACUAGCCCGAAUGGAUGGGCUUAGGCGCGACUACCGGCGUCGAGGCAAGUGCGGCCCGAUGAGUGGAGGGGCGGCGGUCGUGCAAACUUGGGGUGAGCCGGGCGGGCGGCGUCGGUGCGGAUUUGGUGGUAGUAGCAAUAUUCAAUGGAAUUUGAAGGCGAAGGGGGAAGGUUCAUGUGACGGCAUUGCCAUGGGUUAGUCGUCUAAGGACGGGGGAGCCGUCAGAUAGCGUGUUUCGCGAGUUCGAAGGGAUGGGUUAAUUCUGACGGGACGUGGCGGCUGACGGCAGUUAGGGUUCCGGGACGUCGGGGGGCUCGGGAAGGUUAUCUUUUUGUUUAAGCUGACCUGGACGAUCAGUCGGAGGUAGGGUCCAGCGGCUGGAAGGCACGCGCACGUCGCGCGGUGUCCGGUGCGCCCCGGCGGCCCUGAAAAUCCGGGAGGAUCCGAGUGCUCCCACGCCGGUGUACUCAUUACCGCAUCAGGUUCUCCAAGGUGAAGCUAUGGUCGAAUGGAACAAUGUAGGCAAGGAGUCGGCAAAUGGAUCCUAACUCGGGAAAAGGAUUGCUCUGAGGGUGGGCAGGGGGGUCCUGUUCUCCGACCGAUCGGGCUGUCGGUGGAUGCGCGAGCUGCUUCGGCGAGAGAGCGGAGGUACGCGUGCCCAGGCCGGGGGACGGACUUGGGAACGGCUCUUCGGGGGCUUCCCGGGGUCGAACACAACUCAGAAAUGGUCGGACAAGGGGAAUCCGAAUGUUUUAUUUAAAAGCAUUGCGAUGGUCCCUGCGGAUGUACGCAAUUGUGUGAUUUUGCCGUGCUCUGAAUGUUCAAGUGAAGAAAUUUCAACCAGCGCGGGUAAACUGGCGGGAGUACUAUGGACUCUCUUAAGGUAGCCAAUGCUCGUCAUCUAUAGUACGCGAUGAAUGGAUUAAGAGAUUCCACUGUCUGUCUACUAUCCAGCGAACCAAGAAGGGACGGUUGGCAGAUUCCCAGGGGGAAAGAAGACCUGUUGAGCUAUGGACUCUAGUCCGACUUUUGUGAAAUGGACUGAGAGGUGGUUGUAUAAGUGGAGAGCCCUCGGGCGAAAGUGAUACACUACUUUAACGUUAUUUUACUUAUUCCCGGAAUCGAGAAGCGGGGCAACGCCCUCUUUUUGGACCAAG